AGCUGAUGGGCUGGCUAGGUAGCUAUCCCCCUUCUUUCUUGUCCUUCAUUCAUCCCUUCCAAAGCUGUACACUUUGUCACAGAGGAUACUCUUCCCCAAACAGAGGAGGACAGUCUCCAUUCAAGGGUAUAUGAAGAGCUGUCCUCCCCUGCUAGAACCUCGCAACAACGUCUCAGUUUCAUUAAUAGCAAUGAACCUAUAAAAAUUAUCCCCCAAGUCCUCGGUAAGUUUCAGGAAUAUUAUGG
rnacentral:snRNA from 1 species